CCCGCGGCGCGCCGGCUCCAAGCCCUGGGCUCGGGGCGGCUCACCUGCUGGGCGGGAGCCGCGGGCCUGAUGUGAUGAGCGUUCGGCGUUGGUCUCGCCUUGUUCGCCAGCUUUGAUGGUGCGCCUUUCCGAGCUCCGUGUGAGCUCCGCGCCUCUUCGUGCUGUCUCAGCGGGAGAAUGCGAGCCGCGUGUGUGACUCUCCAUUUACUGACUGAUGACUCUCCUUGUGGGCUUGAUGAAGUGAAUGGACAUGUUGAAGGAGCUCAUGUAGUUAAGGACUGCAGCUGGCCUCUAGAAACAGCAGGAUGCCUCCAGCCAAUAGCUAGCAAAAAGCUGGAGCCUUCAGAUCUACAGCCCAAGGAAAUUAACUGUCUCCAACCUGAAUAAACUUGGAAACAAGAAUCUUCCUCAGUUCACCCUCCAAGACUUGCUGAGGGGAAGAUUUUGCCAUUUACAGUAUUAGACCUUAUUGCUUAUGAAUUCAUUUAAAGUGUAUAAAUGGAACUCUCCUCUGCAACUUCAGGACCUGAAGCAAUAAAGCAGUCAUUUUAUACUCUAAAGCCUUCAGAAAAGGUAAAGCUUUGCCGUCAUUAACGUGGAGCAUUCAUUCCCUUAGGUCCUUGAAUUCUGGCCCAGAACUCUGGCUGGGUCUGUUCCCCUCAGCCACAAGCUCACAGCCCUGUGUCCCAGGAGUUUUUAACUGCCAGACCCUUUGUUUUCCGUUCUCUUCCCCUGAGUUUUUGGAAGUGGGAAGAAAAAUUCUUGUGUGGUUGUGCUGAACUUACUCACCUGCCUCCACCAGCACACACUCUAAGAGGCAAGCAAAGUAAACGUGCCUGGUUGUAUGACUUCCAAGUAAGAAUCAUUUCCUCCCUGGUACAUAGGCAAGAAUGGAAGUGAUACCAUGGGGAAAGGUGAGCCUUGACCCUUCUCUUUGGUAGAAGCUGUAAUGUACUUCUGCAAGUCUGCCUCUCCAGUCUGUAGUUCUGGAGACAUGCACAGAAGAAUGGCCUCCCAAAAUUCUUUCAGAAAAAAAUGGGAAAAUCCUAAUAACACACCAACCUGUCUCCUCCUAAUUCUGAGGCACUGUUGCAGAUGCUUGAGAAAUAUUUAUGGACAAAAUAGAGAUUUCCACCUAUAUGGAGAUGCAAUUCUAUCAGGCAUAAACAGGCACUCAACAAUAAACCUGAAAGAUUAAAAAUUAUAUGGUGCAGUAGAGGUGAUAAGGGCAAUGCCGGAAAGUAGAAGAUCAGGAAAGGAGAGCAGCGGGAGAGCAGGAGUGGAUUAAAGCAUUGAGUAAGUGGGUCAGGGCCCAUCUCCCUGAGGAAAUGGGAUCUGAACAAACACAAGGGUGGGGAGUUGGGCAGGUGGGUGCUGAGGGAUUGGUUAGAGCUAAGGCCCUGCAGAAUGUUUGAGAAUCAGAAAGGAGGCCGAUGAGGCUGGGGCAGAGUGAAUAAGAGGAAGGAGAGGGAGAUGGGGUCAAAGGCUAAGCAGGCCUUAUGGAUGCACAGUCACGUAGAUGAGUUGAGAAGAUUUGCCCUCUACUGUCAACUAUGUUGUCUUUACCCACAUAUCCUGACUCUGGCAUCUUGGUGUUUAAGACACUGCACCGGGGUACCUGGGUUGUUCAGUAGGUUGAGCCUGAGCCUUUGGCUCAGGUCAUGAUCCUGGGGUCCUGGGAUGGAGUCCUGUAUCGGGCUCCCUGCUCCGUGGGAAGUCUGCUUCUCCCUCUCCCUUUGCCCUUCCCCCUGUGCUCACAUUUCUCUCUCUCUCUCUCUUUCUCUCUCUCUCUCUCUCCUUCAAAUAAAUAAAUAAAAUCUUUUAAAAAAAGUAAAACAUUGUACCAAAUCUCAUAGGAUUCUAGGAAAUAAUUGGCAAAUACAAUUAGGUAGAAUCCUUUGGUUAAAUAUGGACUUACUUUUUCUCAGCUGAAACUACCUAAUAGCUACUUUUUUUUU